UCCGGCCUCAAUACUGAUUAGCCAUCUC
rnacentral:piRNA from 1 species